CCGAAACGACGACGUAUUUUCUUCACUCAUUCGUAAACGGCGUAGCAUCUACGAAAUCAAAAUAUCCCGGGUCAGAAAUCAUUCGCCUACGACGCAUCACCUCUAGCCAUCGUAUGAUGAAGUACAAUACAUCCACUAUAUUUGACAAAGAUCCGACGAGCUUCUGGUAGCAAGAACUACGAAAGGGCAAAUACCAGAAAUCAGGUUCUGAGUCUGCGUCUGCUGUGGAUCUCUCCAGCUCAACGACAAGGGAUUUCAGAUGACUCUUUGCAAGAGUGGCUGCUCUGGUUGGCUGCAUAAAAAGCUCUACGACAAUGAAACAAGAUAGCCCAAUUAGAACCUCGGUGAGUCUGAUAAUGGCAAAUUCACUUGGAGUCCCAUAAUUUUUUCUUCCCAGUAUCAAUAAUGCUCCUAUGGCGGAUGAUGUUCCUCCUGUUUGGCCAUACAUACGACUGUGCCUCAGAAAGCCGGUAAAAA